rnacentral:tRNA from 1 species
AGGGUGUUAGCUCAAUUGGAAGAGCGUUCCCCGCCACUGGGAAAGGUACAGGUUCGAGUCCAGGUGCACCCUU